UACAGAGGGUGCGAGCGUUAAUCGGAAUUACUGGGCGUAAAGCGCACGUAGUCGGCUUUGCAAGUCGGGUGUGAAAUCCCCAGGCUCAACCUGGGAACUGCGUCCGAUACUGGCAGGCUUGAAUCCGGGAGAGGGAUGUGGAAUUCCAGGUGUAGCGGUGAAAUGCGUAGAUAUCUGGAGGAACACCGGUGGCGAAGGCGGCAUCCUGGACCGGUAUUGACGCUGAGGCGCGAAAGCUAGGGGAGCAAACGGG
rnacentral:rRNA from 1 species